rnacentral:rRNA from 1 species
UACGGAGGAGGCAAGCGUUAUCCGGAAUUACUGGGCGUAAAGCGUGCGCAGGCGGUGAUGUAAGACAGAUGUGAAAUCCCCGGGCUCAACCUGGGAACUGCAUUUGUGACUGCAUCGCUGGAGUGCGGCAGAGGGGGAUGGAAUUCCGCGUGUAGCAGUAAUGCGUAGAUAUGCGGAGGAACACCGAUGGCGAAGGCAAUCCCCUGGGCCUGCACUGACGCUCAUGCACGAAAGCGUGGGGAGCAAACAGG